AGUCCAGGGAGCAUGUGACUGAGAGUGAGCGAGGCAUGCUGGGAAGGUGGAAACAGCAUAGAAAGGGAGAGAGCUCUGAAGAGAGCCACAGCUGUGAGGGGGGAGUCCUCCAGGGGUAGGCUGGGUCUAAGCCCAGGGAUGGCAGAGGGUGACCAUAUGGACUAUGUUUCUCCUCUGAGUGAGAGGGAGCUACAGCACUGAGAGGGGAAAGAUUCAUCCAGGGCAAAGGGACUGUGAAAACCUCUGUGACCCAAGCAGAGGCCCUGAGCCCAGGGAGGGCAAAAGGAACCAAGCGCCUGUGAGAGGGCUGCUUUCUGUUUGUCCUGGAAGGGGAAGACUUUUGACUUGGCCAGAGGACUAAAUCAGACUGGGGAAGACCAGCUCCUGAGGAGGGGAAACUGAGGCAUGGUGAGGCAACUGAGCCAACAGCAGCAUGUCUGGUGUUGGAGAGUCCCUAGCUGAGAUCGGUGUCCUGUUGUGCUAGGUGUUGUACAUACUAGAAACAGUCCCUGCCCUGAAGAGCUUGAGCAGAAACACAACAGCAAAGGAGCAGUCAUGAUUUUUGGAUUCAUCAGGCCACCAGUACCAAGAUUUAUUUAUUUAUUCAAAUAUCAAUUUCCAUCAGAACUUGAAAACAAAUCAUUCUAACCAUGGAAACUUUUUGAUUGGCGCCGAGAUUGGCUUGGAUUACAAAACCCAAAUUUGGGGCUGACGCAGGCUUUUCCAGUGUGAACGACCCCAGGCACCCAAUAAUUGCUGCGUCUCCAGAACAGAACAUCCCUGAAGCUUUAAAGCAAACCUGGUUGGAUUCAUUUAAAGACUGGUUAUAAUCAGCAAAGCAGUUCUGCAAGAAACCACAUGUGGCAGUUGCUUUGGAUCCAUGGAGCGACCAGCAGUGGGCGCUGAUCUGCAAGACAGCCCUUCACCUCCCAAGAGACUUGCUUCCUAUUUGCAUUGCCGGAGCUCCACUGUGUCAGGGGAAGUCAUCAACCACAGUCUUCACCCCAGAGCUGUAGACUCUGAGAUACGCUGGGCCUCAGCCACGGAGCACUUUGAAGAUAAGGCCCGAGACCUUGAACUGGAUUUGCUAUUCUGUGGGAAGCCAUCAGAGAGAGUGGUACUGUGGUGCUGAGGAGACCCACUGUCAUGUUUGGAACUUGCUGGAGUUCCCUGAGCGCAGAAGGCUUCAUCCCCAGGUCUAUUGCAUUGUUGUGGUCCAGCCGAAAGGUGAUGUAGGCCUGAAUAACUUGGGAUGGAGUCUCCUCACGGACCGUAGAUGGUUGGAAGGGCCUGGAAAGUGCUAUGUGAAAGCUCAGCAAGGAAUCCAAGAGCAUUCCUAGAGUGAGUUGACCCAUUGGGCAUGAGCCUUCAACCAAAGGAGAAUGUGCCAUGGUCCGAACCUUUCAAAAUACUUCCACCAGCAUCACCUCUGUCUUGCUUGCAUUCAGCUUCAGCUCACGGAUAAAGAACAUCUGGCUGAUCUCCUCCAAGCACUGGGCCAUCUUGGUGGUAGCAUGCGGAGAAGGCUAGGUAGGGCUAUGCGUCUUCUGCAUAUUGCUGGCACAGUGGUCCAUGUUGUCUGACCAGUUCACCCAGUGGCGAUGUUUAGAAUAGGACUGGAGAGAGAACUGGUCCUUGUGGAGCUCUACAGGAGAGGGAACUAGUGGUGGAGGUGCAGCAUCCAAACCCGAUUCUCUGGGUGUCCCCCUCCAGGAAGGACUCAAACCGUUUUAGCUUAUAACCCUGGCCCCCCGCCACCUCUCUUGGAGAAGACAGCACUAUCUCAGCGCUGACAGGGUCAAAUGCAUUGUUAAACAGUUGGUGUAAGAAUCCAGAGGCCCAGAACCCAGCUGUGCAGGGGAGGGUGCUUCCGUGCCACCAUCUGGCAGAGUGGUGAUCCAAAUCCUGGGGACUAAGCACCACAGGAAGUGCUGCCCACAAACAUCUGAUUGGCAGCACACCCCCUGGGACCUCUGAUUGGUCCAGCCCACUAUUUAAGCAUGGAAGAAGCUUUAGGAAGCUGUUGUUGCAACAAACCCUGCUCUGGACUCGGGCUCUGUUUCCCAGGCUUCACCCCUGACUCCAGCUCUGACCCCUGGCUUGACUCCUGAUUCCAGACUCUUGAUCUCUGACUCUGGCUUUGCCCCCGGCUCCAGCUCCUGAACCAACCCCUAAGCCCUAUUCCUGCUCUGACUCCUGGACCUGCCUGCUGGGUCAGACUGCCCAUGUCCUGGUUGUGACAACUGUUUCCUUUCGCCCCACAGAAGAGGGUGCCCUUCCCUAAUGAGGGAGACAUUCCUCUUGAGGUAAUUGUGUGCAAAAAGAUCAUGUUGGUACAGCCUGUUGGCACCUGUGGGGGUGGAAGAUGCUGCCUCAUUGGGAGAUGGUGCUGCAUCAGCUGAAGAUGCUAUCGGCAAUGAAUAAAGCCCUCGGGUCUUUCAAGGAAAACUCCCAGAACUUUGAGUAGAAAGAACCAACCCGUGAGUGGGCUAGAACCACCCCGGGAGUGAGUUUUGCUCCUGUUUUAGACGGUUUUGCUCAUUCCACCGAUGCCACCUAAAGGGAGUUUUUCUUUAAAGUGAAAACUAUUUUUUUUUCUCUCCCAAGGUCUGUCUGACGAGGUUCUAAUUAAAAGAAGGAAAGAUGUAAAAUCAGAAUGCCCAAAAUAGCUCCCUGGAAAGGUCAGGUGCUCAGCUAGUCAAUACUUUUACCAAGAUUACACGCCGGCUGAGAUCUUGUGUGACGACGACCUUCAGCCGGCUGGAGACAAUAGCAGAGGGGACGUAUGAACAGCUGGGGAGCAGUUUCCCCCACCCCCACCCCAUUUUUCAAAAAGAAACUGCUAGAGAAGUGAGGGACAAUGGCGCACCCGCAGCCCAGCUCUGGGUCGUGGUUGUAGGCGAUGGAAAUCUGCAGGGGCUCUGCUAAGGUCAAUGAGAGGUGGUGUGGCUGGACCGAGGCUGGCUAUUUGGGGCUCCUUUUAAACAACUGCAGGAGCCAAUGUGCCCCCUCUCCAAACCCUAAGAUGCACCCCUGUUGCUAUGACCCCCAAUAGAGCUUUGCAGGAACAUAGAACAGAUCUGCCCCAGCCAUGCCCCCACCCCAGCACGCCCCCCUGUGGCAGGGGCUCUGGUGGUGGCAGUGCAGCUGGCGGAGAUGGCUCUGCACUGGCAUAGGGCCCCCAUGUGCCAGGGGCCCCCCGAUGGCCCCUUUGUGCCAACUUAGCUGGCAGAAAGCAGCUCUCGGGCAAUGCCGAGGAGAGUUUACCCCUGGCGUGACUCAGAUCUGAGCCUGCCAGGAAGAGCAAGAUGCCGCCGUAGAACUGGGAGUAACGGACUUCGGUGGGGUUGCAGCUG